ACGCCUGAGUCGGCUCCGCGCGGCGACAUGGACCGGAUGGCCAACUCCAUGAAGCAGGUGCCCAACCCCCUGCCCAAGGUGCUGAGCCGGCGUGGAGUGGGUUCGGGGAUAGAGGCGGCCGAGCGGGAGAGCUUUGAGCGGACUCAGACUGUCAGCAUCAAUAAGGCCAUUAAUACGCAGGAAGUGGCUGUAAAGGAAAAACACGCCAGAACGUGCAUACUGGGCACCCACCAUGAGAAAGGGGCGCAGACCUUUUGGUCUGUGGUCAACCGGCUGCCUCUCUCUAGCAACGCUGUCCUCUGCUGGAAGUUCUGCCACGUGUUUCACAAACUCCUCCGAGAUGGACACCCAAACGUCCUGAAGGACUCCCUGAGAUACAAAAAUGAAUUGAGCGACAUGAGCAGGAUGUGGGGCCACCUGAGUGAGGGGUACGGCCAGCUCUGCAGCAUCUACCUCAGACUGCUAAGAACGAAGAUGGAAUAUCACACCAAAAAUCCCAGGUUCCCGGGCAACCUUCAGAUGAGCGACCGGCAGCUGGAUGAGGCCGGAGAGAGCGACGUUAACAACUUUUUCCAGCUAACAGUGGAGAUGUUUGACUACCUGGAGUGUGAACUUAAUCUCUUCCAAACUGUGUUCAAUUCCCUGGACAUGUCGCGCUCGGUGUCCGUGACGACAGCCGGGCAGUGCCGCCUCGCCCCGCUGAUCCAGGUCAUCCUGGACUGCAGCCAUCUGUACGAUUACACCGUCAAGCUGCUCUUCAAACUCCACUCGUGUCUCCCAGCCGACACCCUGCAAGGCCACCGGGACCGCUUCAUGGAGCAAUUCACCAAGUUGAAAGAUCUGUUCUACCGCUCCAGCAACCUUCAGUACUUCAAACGGCUCAUUCAGACCCCUCAGCUGCCGGAGAACCCACCCAACUUCCUGCGGGCCUCUGCGCUGUCGGAACACAUCAGCCCUGUGGUGGUCAUCCCGGCUGAGGCCUCGUCCCCGGACAGCGAGCCCGUCCUGGAGAAGGAUGACCUCGUGGACAUGGACACCCCCCAGCAGAGUUUAUUCGACAACAAGUUUGAUGACAUCUUUGGCAGCUCGUUCAGCAGCGACCCCUUCAAUUUCAACAGUCAGAAUGGCGUGAACAAGGACGAGAAGGAUCACUUAAUCGGUCAGCUGUACAGAGACGUCAGCGAGCUGAAGGCACAGCUAGAGAACGUGAAGACGGAGAGCCAGCGGGCCGUGCUACAGCUGAAGGGCCGGGUCAGCGAGCUGGAGGCCGAGCUGGCGGAGCAGCGACACCUGCGGCAGCAGGCGGCUGACGACAGCGAGUUCCUCCGGGCCGAGCUGGACGAGCUCAAGAAGAAGCGAGAAGACACGGAGAAGGCCCAGCGGAGCCUGACGGAGAUAGAAAGGAGAGCCCAAGCCAACGAACAGCGGUACAGCAAGCUGAAGGAGAAGUACAGCGAGCUGGUACAGAACCACGCUGACCUGCUGCGGAAGAAUGCGGAGGUGACCAAACAGGUGUCCGUGGCCAGGCAAGCCCAGGCGGAUUUGGAACGAGAGAAGAAAGAGCUCGAGGACUCCUUCCAGCGCAUCAGCGACCAGGCGCAGCGGAAGACUCAAGAACAGAUGGAAGUACUAGAGAGCUUGAAGCAAGAACUUGCCACCAGCAAACAGGAACUCCACAUCGUCCAAGGCAGUCUGGAAACUUCUGCCCAGUCAGAGGCAAAGUGGGCCGCCCAGAUCGCUGAGCUGGAGAAGGAGCGAAGCAGCUUGGCGCACGCCGUGGCCCGGCGGGAGGAGGAAUUAGCGGCCCUGCAGGAGCGACUGGACCACACCCAGGGGGAACUGUCCCUCGCAAAGGAAUCAGCGGGCCAGCUCGCCAAGGACCAGAGGAGAAUGCUGCUGGCGGAGGCAAGGAAGGCCGCGGAGCAGGUGGUCCAGGACGCCCUGCGGCAGCUGGAGGAGCCGCCUCUGAUCAGCUGUGCCGGCUCUGCAGAUCACCUUCUCUCCAAGGUCAAGUCUGUUUCCAGCUGCCUCGAGCGCCUGGAAGAAAGCUGGAGGCACUAUCUGGCCUGCCCAGAAGCGAUCAGUGGGCUCCUGCACUCGGUCACCCUCCUCGCCCACCUGACCGGGGACACCAUGGCUUACGUGAGCACCACCUGCCUUCGAGCCCCGCCGGAACCCGCCGACCUGCUGACCGAGGCCUGCAAACAGUUUGGCAAAGAAACCCUCCUCUACUUGGCUUUCCUGGAGGAGGAGGGAACACGGGAGAAUGACGGCACCGCCAUGAGGAGCUGCCUUACCAAGAUCGCCACCAUUGCCGAGGAGCUCCUGCCCAGAGGCCUGGACAUCAAACAGGAGGAGCUGGGGGACCUGGUGGACAAGGAGAUGGCUGCCACGUCCGCUGCCAUCGAAACUGCUACGGCCAGAAUCGAGGAGAUGCUCAGCAAAUCCCGAGCUGGAGACACAGGAGUCAAAUUGGAGGUGAACGAAAGGAUCCUUGGUUCCUGUACAAGCCUAAUGCAAGCUAUUCAGGUCCUGAUCGUGGCCUCGAAGGACCUCCAGAGAGAGAUAGUGGAGAGUGGCCGGGGCACAGCCUCCCCGAAAGAGUUUUACGCCAAGAAUUCUCGAUGGACGGAAGGACUCAUCUCCGCUUCCAAAGCCGUGGGCUGGGGAGCGACCGUCAUGGUGGAUGCAGCCGAUCUGGUGGUGCAAGGCAGAGGGAAGUUCGAGGAACUGAUGGUGUGUUCGCAUGAAAUCGCUGCGAGCACGGCCCAGCUUGUGGCCGCCUCUAAGGUGAAGGCUGACAAGGACAGUCCAAACCUGGCCCAGCUGCAGCAGGCCUCCCGGGGCGUGAACCAGGCCACCGCCACCGUUGUGGCCUCCACCAUCUCAGGCAAAUCACAGAUUGAGGAGACAGACAACAUGGACUUCUCCAGCAUGACACUGACGCAGAUCAAACGGCAGGAGAUGGAUUCCCAGGUCCGGGUGCUAGAGCUGGAGAAUGAUCUGCAAAAGGAGCGUCAGAAACUCGGAGAGCUUCGGAAAAAGCACUACGAACUCGCCGGUGUCGCCGAGGGCUGGGAAGAAGGAACAGAAGCGUCUCCACCUGCAUUGCACGAACCGGUCACCGGAAAGGAAUAGAGCCAUGUCGACGCCCCACACGUCCGAGUGUAAAUCUUGUGGCCCAUCUGUCCUUUUCUGUUUCACCAUCUGCACCAACUCAUGAGCGUCAGAGGGCUGGCGGGGCUCCAAGCCAGGACGCCGCCCUACAUCUGUGCCGACAGAACAGCAGGAGCGUCCCGGCCAAGCACGCCAAGACAACUGUCCCCUCUCUUGGCAGUCCCAUGGGUUCCCCGCUGCUUCUUACGGUGGUUGGUUGGGAUUUUCUUUUUUUUUUUCCUUUUUUUGGGGGAUUUCUUCUUCCGGUGUUCCCUCGUAGAGCCACCUCUCCCCAAGGGAGCACCCCUGGCGCUCAGAGCCAUCGGGGGUCCCUACCAACAGCAGUUAACAGCAAUGGUGCUGCUCAGGCUUCACCUUGGUGCUCCACGCCAGCCUCCGUGCUGAGUGUCCCGCUGAGCGAGUCUGGGUCAGACGAGCCCACUGCCCAGGGUGGGCACCGCUGCUGGGCCACACUCUUCCUCCAGAGGCAGAAGGAGAGCCUCCCUCAAGCGAGAGAGCCCAGAGAAGCCUCUGCCCACCUUCCCGGGUGACAGGGGUGAAGGACGUGGGGAAGGAAGGAGGGUGCAUGUGGCCCAGGCCUCAGGAGACCCCUGCUCUGGGAACUUUUGGUGACCAGACUGAAAACCUGAUCCCGUGCUGUGAGCUGGUAAGAGUAGCCACACUUAUUUCCCCUGGAAAGCGCUUUCCAUGCCACCUCCCUUCAGCCCCAGGCGGGACCCUGAGAGGGAGCUGCGUGAGGGCUUUUCCAGCUGGCCGCCUGGACAUCCUCUUGAACCUGAAGAAGACAGUUCCGCGUUCUACCCAAGGGAAGAUCAGGCAGACUAAUGCCAGAAGGUCAGGCAGACUUGCUCCCGGCAGGAAAGGACCCUGUACUUGGUUUGGUACCUUUAAUAUUUAUUACUAACCUCCGUUCCGCAGUGGCAGCAGCCUCUAGGCAGACGCUUUGAGCAAUCAGGAUUUGAGGUGUGGGGAUGGCGGGGCUGCAUGGCUGCCCCAGGUCACCGGUUUUCAAGAAUCAGACAGCAGGCCAACAUGCUUCCCAGUCUGUAACCGGCCUGGACCCUGAGGCCAGCAGGUUCCUCAGACCACCUGGGUCAGGGAAACCGAGAAAAGGGGGACCACUGACUCCGAGCCCUUCCCGCCACACGACCUGGGCCUGUGCUGCCCAGACAGGAUGAGGACAGAAGACGCAUUAACAACUUCCCAGAGGUGGACAGCCUGACCGCACUCGUCCACCUCCAGACAGACAGACCCCAGCAUUUAAGUGACCUUCCGAUCUCGGACAGUGUCUUCCUUCCUUAUCUGUAGCAACUCUUAGGUAGAAGCCAACAAGCACUUCCCAGGACCUGUCCCAAAGGAACAUUGCUAAGUGAUGCUCCGUGACAGGUGGCGAGGUUCCUGUUUGAUCACUGUGAAUCAACCCUCGUCCUGCCUCCACCUCCCACCCCUCCCUCUCUGUGCGUUUGCUAAGUAGGGCACUCAAAAACCAGGCUCCCGUCAGCUCGGAUUCCGAGACUCAGACAGGCGAUCUCCACAUUGGGCGAAUAAAGAGGGGUCAGCAGCAAAUGAGCCGUCUUACGCUAUUUAAUGCUUCUUUGCGCUCAGCGUUUUUCCAUCCGAGGCUCAGAAGAAGUGGGGGGGGGGGUGUGCCCCUGGCCCAGUUGUACCAGUGAAGCCAGUCGGUGUGUUCUCAGAGUGGAUCAGCAUUUCCACAGCGGACUGGUCCUCCCUUCCAGAAUCUCGGCCGAACUGCUGUGCUCUGAAUUACCCAUGGUGAAAAGAAUCUGCUGUAUCAGGCCACUCUGGGAUGCUCCAAAUAACGCUUCUUCCAAAAAGAAGCCACAGUGAUUGUUAAAACCUUGAUGGACUUUGCCGGAGUAGUAAGACAGGGAAGAAAGCACCAGAAGUAUCCUUCAGAUGCGGCACAGUUACAUUUGUCUCACUCGCCUUAGGAGCUGGCCCGUCUUCUAGCCAAAAUCCAAUUGUCCUCCCUUGGCUUUUCUAAAAAAAAACGAGGGUGUUUAUACUUGGUGUGAAAUACUUGAUUCAAAUGGGGAUGACCUCCUCAGGCUAAAAAUGAACAUCACAGCCUUUUAAAGUCACCACUGAGCUUCAUGAAUGACUGAAGUCCCGUGGAUCCGUGUAAUUGGGUCACACAGCAAGGCAGAACAACAAAAGAAUGGCUUAGGACUGACGAGAUCAAAAGACAGCCGUAUCCCUUAUUUAAUUUUGUAAUACAGUUGCUCUAAUAUCCCUAGAGUAAGGAUAUGUGUGUACAUAAUAAGAAAAAAAAAAUAGAAAAGACCUGCCUUUUGUGGGGUUCUUUUAUAUCUGAGUCAGAGGAGUUUAAAUUAGACUGUAGUUUAGAUUGUCGGCUUGUUCUGCCACGGACAGCAGGAUCCCUAGGGUCCCACCUGAAUCUGAGUCCCUAAUCCAGUGUCCAGAACGUCCAGAGCGUUGGAAGUGUUUGAGCUGCCACGUCAACAUCAGGGUUAACCGGGUACCGUGGGGGUCACAGUGCAUGUCGUUGGUCCUCAGAUCGGUUUGCUUUGGCCUCUCACUGCAGAGGGGCUGGUCGGUCCUGAGCUUGCACCUGGGAAAUGCUCACUUCUCGGCCAGCUCCUUAGUCUGGAAGGGUCUCCUGGCUCCACUAACCCUGGUCUUUAGCCGCCGGUCAAGUUCUCGCUACCUUCUACCACCUUUGCAAGCCUCUGGAAAUCCCACCAAUGAAAGCCUUCGGUCCCGGCAUUGGCCUUUCAGCCGGACCAGCUCUGCUCUGUCUCCGCUGUCCUCGGUCCCCCGGAGACCGUGCCAUCUGUAGCCUAGGCAACCACCACCGUGGGCUUGCCAGCCUUCGCCGCAGUAAACCGAGCCGGCUGCCUGCUACUCCCAUCCCCUUUGCCUCCCAAGGUCAGACCAAAUGCAGGACCAGCAACCCACAGCGGUGGCACAGGCUCUCACCCCCAGGAGCCAAAGCAAUGGGAAAUCAUGGGUUAGAUGCCGUUGGGUCCGAUUCUGAGAGUAGACCAUUUUCCAGACAUGUCUUUCAGGUGACCCUCAACUACCUCAGUUUGAAGGCCCCAAAUGAAGCUGAUUACUACUAGGGACAAACCGAGGGGGUUCCGAUAAAUCUUGCUGGUAACUUAUAACAAACUCUCACAUUUAGGUUCGCAGGGAUAGGUUGGGUUUGUUUUUCUUCUGUUUUUUAACCUUUUCCCCCAAUUUUCCAUUAGAAUAGUUCCUAGAAAUGGAUUUCAUUUUUCACCGAGUGCCUACCUUCCCAGGGCAGGUAGCCACUGGCUUUUCUUCCCUUCCAACAAUACUUUUAUUAUGAUAUUAAGACCUUUCUUUGUAUAAUACAUUGCAUCUGUGUUUUCAAUUUUUCAAAUAAAUACUUCAACCUGG